rnacentral:rRNA from 1 species
CCUACGGGGGGCAGCAGUGAGGAAUAUUGGUCAAUGGACGCAAGUCUGAACCAGCCAAGUAGCGUGCAGGAUGACGGCCCUCCGGGUUGUAAACUGCUUUUAUUUGGGAAUAAAAUGGGGCUCGUGAGCCCCGUAUUGUAUGUACCAUCAGAAAAAGGACCGGCUAAUUCCGUUCCAGCAGCCGCGGUAAUACGGAAGGUCCGGGCGUUCUCCGGAUUUAUUGGUGUUAAAGGGCGCGUAGGCCGGCUUUUAAGUCAGCUGUGAAAGUCCGCGGCUCAACCGUGGAAUUGCAGUUGAAACUGGAGGCCGUGAGUGCACACAGGGAGGCCGGAAUUCAUGGUGUAGCGGUGAAAUGCUUAGAUAUCAUGAAGAACUCCGAUCGCGAAGGCAAGUGUCCGGGGUGCAACUGACGCUGAGGCUCGAAAGUGCGGGUAUCAAACAGGAUUAGAUACCCGGGUAGUC